rnacentral:miRNA from 1 species
UCUUAGCUUGUCCUAAAAGGCAUG